rnacentral:rRNA from 1 species
GGGCUCACACAAGCGGUGGAGGAUGUGGCUUAAUUCGAGGCUACGCGAAGAACCUUAUCCUGGUCUUGACAUGCUUGGGAAUACCCGUGAAAGCGGGUAGUGCCUUUCGGGGAGCCCUUGCACAGGUGCUGCAUGGCUGUCGUCAGCUCGUGUCGUGAGAUGUCGGGUUAAGUCCCUUAACGAGCGAAACCCCUUAUCUCUAGUUGCCAGCGUGUAAUGGCGGGACUCUAGAGAGACUGCCGUGAUAAACCGGAGGAAGGCGGGACGACGUCAAGUCAUCAUGGCCCUUACGGAGUAGGGCUACACACGUGCUACAAUGGCAGAUACAGAGGCAGCGAAGGGCGACCUGGAGCAAAUCUUUUAAAGUCUGUCGUGAG